GAUCCUGGCUCAGGAUGAACGCUGGCGGCGUGCCUAACACAUGCAAGUCGAGCGAUCUCUUCGGAGAGAGCGGCGGACGGGUGAGUAACGCGUGGGUAACCUGCCCUGUACACACGGAUAACAUACCGAAAGGUAUGCUAAUACGGGAUAAUAUAUAAGAGUCGCAUGACUUUUAUAUCAAAGAAUUUUUCGGUUACAGGAUGGACCCGCCGUCUGAUUAGCUUGUUGGCGGGGUAACGGGCCCACCAA
rnacentral:rRNA from 1 species